UUACGGCCAUACCACGUUGAAACACUAAUUCCCGUACGGUCACCGAAGUUAAACAACGUGGUGCCUGGUCAGUAACUACAUAGGUGACAGCUUUGUAAUAGCAGGUGCUGUAAG